rnacentral:rRNA from 1 species
UUAAAACCAAGAAACAAGAAAAGAUUAAAAUUCUUUUCCUGUCAGGUUAAAGGCAGGGGGACCUGGGAUUAUUGUAAAAAUUAGCUAAGCGGCCGGAGAGACGAAAUAAGCGCAGUGCCAGAUCGUCAAGGAGAAAAAGCAAAGCAGCAGAAAUUCAAUACGAGCUUUUUAAUGCAACAAUUUUUAUAUACGCUAUGGAGGGAAUUACCGCGGCUGGGCACCAGACUUGCCCUCCAAUUGAUACUUUGGAAGAGGGUUAAAUUGCCAUCAUUCCAAUACAAGACAUAAGCCCGCGUA